rnacentral:rRNA from 1 species
UACAGAGGGUGCAAGCGUUAAUCGGAUUUACUGGGCGUAAAGCGUGCGUAGGCGGUUUGUUAAGUCGGUUGUGAAAGCCCUGGGCUUAACCUGGGAAUUGCAGUCGAUACUGGCAGGCUAGAGAACGGUAGAGGGAGGCGGAACUCCAGGUGUAGCGGUGAAAUGCGUAGAUAUCUGGAAGAACACCGAUGGCGAAGGCAACCUCCUGGGCCUGUUCUGACGCUGAGGCACGAAAGCGUGGGUAGCAAACAGG